GCACUGCUGAGGAGUCCCAUAAUAGAACGAAACGGUCUUUGUCCAGUGU
rfam:Schistosoma rodhaini strain Burundi genome assembly, scaffold: SROB_contig0007374